rnacentral:ncRNA from 1 species
GUAAAUACUUUGAAGAGGAAUAGUAAAGAAAUUAUAUAAUUACAGAGAGCCGAUGCUGGUGGAAAUUCGGUGUUUGCAUUUCUUGAAAGAAGCCUUGGAGUAUGGGAUUGAAAAUAAUUAAGUAAGUCCUACGGUUACCUUGACGUUAUUCAAGGAGUGAUCUGAAAUAUCUUAUGCGCAGAGAUAAAUUCACGUCAUCAGAGUGGAUGUAUUAUCAAUUUAGGUGGUACCGCGGAAGCAAGUCUUUCGUCCUAUUA